UACGUAGGGACCGAGCGUUGUCCGGAUUCAUUGGGCGUAAAGAGCUCGUAGGCGGCCACUCAAGUCGAAUGUGAAACCUCGAGGCUUAACCUCGAGCCUGCAUUCGAUACUGGGCGGCUAGAGUCUGGUAGGGGGAUCUGGAAUUCCUGGUGUAGCGGUGGAAUGCGCAGAUAUCAGGAGGAACACCGAUGGCGAAGGCAGGUCUCUGGGCAUUAACUGACGCUGAGGAGCGAAAGCAUGGGGAGCGAACAGG
rnacentral:rRNA from 1 species